rnacentral:rRNA from 1 species
AGGCGCGCGAUGGUAGGCUCAGGCUGGUCGGAAAUCAGCUGUCGAGUGCAAAGGCACAAGCCUGCCUGACUGCGAGAGCGACGGCUCGAGCAGAGACGAAAGUCGGUCUUAGUGAUCCGGUGGUCCCGCGUGGAAGGGCCAUCGCUCAACGGAUAAAAGGUACGCCGGGGAUAACAGGCUGAUACCCCCCAAGAGUCCACAUCGACGGGGGUGUUUGGCACCUCGAUGUCGGCUC